UUUUUGCAGGAUCCCGCAUG
rnacentral:miRNA from 1 species